rnacentral:rRNA from 1 species
AGCGAACGCUGGCGGCAGGCCUAUCACAUGCAAGUCGAACGAACUCUUCGGAGUUAGUGGCGGACGGGUGAGUAACACGUGGGAACGUGCCUUUAGGUUCGGAAUAACUCAGGGAAACUUGAGCUAAUACCGGAUGUGCCCUUCGGGGGAAAGAUUUAUCGCCUUUAGAGCGGCCCGCGUCUGAUUAGCUAGUUGGUGAGGUAAAGGCUCACCAAGGCGACGAUCAGUAGCUGGUCUGAGAGGAUGAUCAGCCACAUUGGGACUGAGACACGGCCCAAACUCCUACGGGAGGCAGCAGUGGGGAAUCUUGCGCAAUGGGCGAAAGCCUGACGCAGCCAUGCCGCGUGAAUGAUGAAGGUCUUAGGAUUGUAAAAUUCUUUCACCGGGGACGAUAAUGACGGUACCCGGAGAAGAAGCCCCGGCUAACUUCGUG